GACGAACGCUGGCGGCGUGCCUAAUACAUGCAAGUUGAGCGAUGAAGAUUGGUGCUUGCACCAAUUUGAAGAGCAGCGAACGGGUGAGUAACGCGUGGGGAAUCUGCCUUUGAGCGGGGGACAACAUUUGGCAACGAAUGCUAAUACCGCAUAACAACUUUAAACAUAAGUUUUAAGUUUGAAAGAUGCAAUUGCAUCACUCAAAGAUGAUCCCGCGUUGUAUUAGCUAGUUGGUGAGGUAAAGGCUCACCAAGGCGAUGAUACAUAGCCGACCUGAGAGGGUGAUAGGCCACGUUGGGACGGAGACACGGCCCAAACCCCUACGGGAGGGAGCAGUAGGGAAUCUUCGGCAAUGGACGAAAGUCUGACCGAGCAACGCCGCGUGAGUGAAGAAGGUUUUCGGAUCGUAAAACUCUGUUGGUAGAGAAGAACGUUGGUGAGAGUGGAAAGCUCAUCAAGUGACGGUAACUACACAGAAAGGGACGGCUAACUACGUG
rnacentral:rRNA from 1 species